CAGCUUCAAGAAUAGUAGGAAGAAUGCCAACAUAAUGAAUCUUCAAAGGUUGAAGAUUAACAUUUCAUCUGUCACAAUCAAGUCACCUGAAUCUUAUAAGGCAAUCGCUUCCUCUGGACGCCGAACUUCCCAGCGCUUCAGGCCUCCUCUGAAUUUUUGCUGGUUGUUUGAUCUGGCUAAAAGAGUGGGUGAAUCUCCAGAAUAAGAGGCUACUUCAUCUAGAAGGUCAUGAAUUGGAUGACAUUGUUAUUUAUGGUAUGACAAGGUUAAAGUAAAUGUUUGAUUUUAAUGACCACUUUGUUAGAAAUUA